AUGGAGUCAGUUGAAUUUGGUUCUUAUUUGAGGGGCCCAUGUCACCGAGUUCACCUAGGGCCUUUCAAAACACAGGGCCGGCCCUGGCACCGAGCUGCAACAGUGGACGGGAUAUUCAUGGGAGCUGGGUUAUCACGAGUCGACGAGCAAAGCAUCGGAGCAUGGCGCUGGCAACUCGUUUCGUGCAUGCGCGGCCGGACGACAGAGUGCUUGCGAGGCGACAACAGCAAGUUGCAACCGCGAUGCAGGGCAGCCAUGGUGAGUUGUGAUGGUGGACACUCGCGGAAGCUGGGCGUCACGAGAAAAGGUACGGCGCAUGGCAACCACUACCCGUUCCAUGCGGGCGGACAAAGUGGGCUCGUUUUGCAUGGGAUUCAGUGGUUUCAGUUUUGCAUGACCCAAACGAGCUAG
rnacentral:rRNA from 1 species